rnacentral:ncRNA from 16 species
GUAGAAUUCGCUCCCGUUGGUGCUCGCGGUCGUGGUUCGCACGCCGCAGUUCAACGGGAAGCAGGGAGGCGCCCUUCACCAUGAAGGGCUUGCCCAGCCUGCGCUGCCCCCGCAACGGUCAGCGGACGAAUCGAUUCGAUUCACUCUUGCAGCAACCCAGCCACUGGGCGCCUUGAACAAGCGCCUGGGAAGGCGCUGCAAGGGCGUUCCGCCAGCCCGGAUACCGGCCAACGAGGUGGCUUGCGCG